AGUGAAUAAACACAAUAAUUGCCCAUAUAGAGCAGUAUAAUU
rnacentral:guide_RNA from 1 species